AUAACCCUUUUGCAGCCACGUGUCACUUUUUACACGUGUCUUUUUGUGUUCGUUGGGUCGCCAAACCCUAAAUCAAUCACACUGCCAAAACAAACCUCUGAAUCAGCUCUCCCUUAAAUCAAUAACAGCGAUUCCACCCAAAUAGAUAUCAUCGGAAUCAUGAUCUCUCUGAAACAAAUUCACACCCUUUGAUGAAAACCCUAAUGUAAUAACAACCGAAUAGCCCAUCAGUUAUUUUUACCGCUGCAGUCGCAAGCAUUACGGUCAAGCUUCGCCGGAGUCGAUCGAACUCCAGUUCAAGGAUGGUGACUGAUAUUGCAGUGAUGACAAGAGCACAUUUUGGAGAGUUUCCAGUUUUCAUUUCAUAUACACGUAUGUAGUCUGACAGUGGCAUCAUCGUUUCAAAAGAGACGAAAGAGAUAAAGAGAGAGACAAAGAACUAGAGAGGGAGAGAGAGGGAGAGAAAGAGUGGGAGAAAGAGAGAGGGAAGUAGAGAAGGUAGUGUGAUCAACCGAUCUUAGCCUGAGUGUCACUGUCGGUGAAAACGUGGUUUAGGGUCGUUAUGCAGAGCUCCAACGAGGUGUUUGAGGGUCUACAGAUCUAAAACUUUUCUUAGGCAACCAAACCGCCACUCACGACGAGGAAGAAUGACCUGUGGGUGCAUGUCCAUCAUCGACGAAGAAGAACGACCAACUUGUGCAGCGAAGAAGAACCAUCGACAACUGUAUUCUUCACUAUAUACCCUGGGCCACUGGAUCUGAAACUUAACAACCCGUUUGUGUGUUUUUAUAGACAUGUUUUAUCUCGCCAGGUUUGGUUGCAGAAUAUGAAAGUCGGAUAACUCAUGCGGACUCAAGUUGCGGCUGAACGGGUUCUAUAUAAACAACUCAACUGGUCACUUUUGGAGUUUAGUUCAGAUAUUUGUUUUUCAACCCAUUUGUUUCUCUCUUUAGGGUAUCAAAUUGAAACUCAAGAUUUAGUGUUUGUUUGAUCUAUUCAUGUUAUAGAUCUUUGUCACCUGUUAGAUCUUGUGAUUAUUCAUCAGAUCGUUAUGUAAUCUGAUGUGAGAGUCUUGUGUGAGUUGAUUUGUUUACAUGUCUUUUUUUAAUUGUUUUUGGUAUAAAAGAUUUAUCUUAUAUCGUGUA